AUGCAUAGAUAUAACUCAGAACACCUAUUGCGUAGGCAGCUGUCUAUACUACAACUGACGCUGAGGCACGAAAGCGUGGGGAGCGAACAGGAUUAGAUACCCUGGUAGUCCACGCUGUAAACGAUGAUCACUCGUUGUUGGCUACUUAGUAGUCAGUGACCAAGGGAAACCGAUAAGUGAUCCACCUGGGGAGUACGUCGGCAACGAUGAAACUCAAAGGAAUUGACGGGGGCCCGCACAAGCGGAGGAACAUGUGGUUUAAUUCGAUGAUACGCGAGGAACCUUACCUGGGCUUAAAUGCUGGCUGCAUUGGAGGGAAACCUUCAUUUCCUACGGGACCGCCAGCAAGGUGCUGCAUGGUUGUCGUCAGCUCGUGCCGUGAGGUGUCGGGUUAAGUCCCAUAACGAGCGCAACCCCUAUCGCUAGUUGCCAGCAUGUAAUGGUGGGGACUCUAGCGAGACUGCCGGUGUAAACCGGAGGAAGGUGGGGAUGACGUCAAAUCAGCACGGCCCUUACGUCCAGGGCUACACACGUGUUACAAUGGCCGGUACAAAGAGCAGCCACCUGGCGACAGGGCGCUAAUCUCAAAAACCGGUCUCAGUUCGGAUCGAAGUCUGCAAUUCGACUUCGUGAAGGUGGAUUCGCUAGUAAUCGCGCAUCAGCCAUGGCGCGGCGAACCAGUUCCCGGGCCUUGUACACACCGCCCGUCAAGCCAUGGAAGUCGGGGGUACCUGAAGUCCGUAACCGA
rnacentral:rRNA from 1 species